ACGCGUGAGAAUCUACCUUCGAGAAGGGGACAACCGUUGGAAACGACGGCUAAUCCCCAAUAAGCCGAAAGGUGAAAGGGUUUCCGCUCGCAGAGGAGCUCGCGUCCGAUUAGUUAGUUGGUGGGGUAAGAGCCUACCAAGGCAGCGAUCGGUAGCUGGUCUGAGAGGAUGAGCAGCCACACUGGGACUGAGACACGGCCCAGACUCCUACGGGAGGCAGCAGUGGGGAAUUUUCCGCAAUGGGCGCAAGCCUGACGGAGCAACGCCGCGUGUGGGAAGAAGGCUCUUGGGCUGUCAACCACUUUUCUCAGGGAAGAAGUCCUGACGGUACCUGAGGAAUCAGCCUCGGCUAACUCCGUGCCAGCAGCCGCGGUAAUACGGAGGAGGCAAGCGUUAUCCGGAAUUAUUGGGCGUAAAGCGUCCGCAGGGGGCACUUCAAGUCUGCUGUCAAAGGUCGGAGCUUAACUCCGGUUCGGCAGUGGAAACUGGAGUGCUAGAGGGCGACAGGGGUAGAGGGAAUUCCCAGUGUAGCGGUGAAAUGCGUAGAGAUUGGGAAGAACACCGGUGGCGAAAGCGCUCUACUGGGUCGCACCUGACCCUCAGGGACGAAAGCUAAGGUAGCGAAAGGGAUUAGAUACCCCUGUAGUCUUAGCCGUAAACGAUGGAUACUAGGCGUGGUUUGUAUCGACCCAAGCCGUGCCGAAGCUAACGCGUUAAGUAUCCCGCCUGGGGAGUACGCACGCAAGUGUGAAACUCAAAGGAAUUGACGGGGGCCCGCACAAGCGGUGGAGGAUGUGGUUUAAUUCGAUGCAACGCGAAGAACCUUACCAGGGCUUGACAUCCCGCGAAUCUUGCUGAAAGGUGAGAGUGCCUUCGGGAGCGCGGAGACAGGUGGUGCAUGGCUGUCGUCAGCUCGUGUCGUGAGAUGUUGGGUUAAGUCCCGCAACGAGCGCACCCCUCGUCAGUAGUUGCCAGCAUUAAGUUGAGCACUCUAGGGAGACUUCCGGUGACAAACCGGAGGAAGGUGA
rnacentral:rRNA from 1 species